rnacentral:lncRNA from 1 species
CCAUUUUUUUUUUUUUUUUUUUUUUUUUUUUUUUUUUUUUUCAUCACCCUUCCUUUUCAUUGUUUAAUUACCAUGCUCUUUAUUUUAUUUUUCUUAGCAUACAUCACUAGCAUAACAUGUUGGUGACAUGUUUCCACCCAUAGCAUGGCCAGCCACUAUGCUUUAAUUUGGCUAAUUUGACAUGCAAGGACAAACACUUUCCCACAUAUAUUACUGGGCCACUUGAACACUUGCCUAGCAUAUUUCUAAAUUGUCUCACAUAAGUCCCUACUAAUAAAUUCCACAUACACUGACCAAAUUAAAGUAUGGAGCUAUCACACAAGCAUUUACGCACAUCAUAAACACAGAAUAUAAUCUUUAAUUAUUUAUAAGACUCGGUUUUGUGGUCCCGAAACCACUUCCCGACUAGGGUCAAUUUUGGGCUGUCACAACUCUCCCCCACUUAAGAAAUUUUUGUCCCCGAAAAUCUUACCGGUAAAUAGGUUUGGAUAUCGUUCUUUCAUCGAGCUCUCGGUUUCCCAAGUAGCUUCCUCGAUCCCGUGUUUGAGCCAUAACACCUUUACUAGCGGAACUCUUUUGUUUCGUAACUCCUUCACUUCACGAGCUAGGAUACGCAUCGGUUCUUCUUCAUAACUCAUAUCGGCUUGAAUUUCAACCUCUGAUGGGCUAAUUAUGUGCGAUGGAUCAGAUCUAUAGCGUCGAAGCAUCGAAACAUGAAAGACGUCAUGGAUCUUUUCAAGCUCAGGGGGCAAAAUCAAUCUAUACGCAACUGGCCCCACUCGUUCGGAGAUUUCGUACGGCCCAAUGAAUCUCGGGCUCAACUUGCCCUUACGGCCAAACCUAAGUACCUUUUUCCAAGGCGAAACUUUAAGAAACACUUUAUCUCCCACCUGAUAUUCAAUGUCUUUUCGUUUCAAAUCCGCAUACGAUUUCUGACGAUCUGUGGCUGCUUUCAGACUUUCACGGAUUACCUUUACUUUCUGUUCGGCAUCUUUAAUCAAAUCAACUCCGAAAAUUUUACUUUCACCGAGCUCGGUCCAAAACAAUGGUGUACGGCAUUUACGACCAUACAAAGCCUCGUAAGGUGCCAUCUUAAUACUUGAUUGAAAACUAUUGUUGUAAGCGAAUUCAAUCAAAGGUACAUACCGUUCCCAUGAACCACUAAACUCAAGGAUGCAGCAUCUCAGCAUAUCCUCGAGUAUCUGAAUUAUCCGCUCGGAUUGACCAUCGGUUUGGGGAUGAAAAGCGGUGCUAAAUGCAGCUUGGUACCCAAAGCUUCUUGCAAUUUCUUCCAAAAUCGCGAGGUGAAUCUCGAAUCUCUAUCCGACACGAUAGAAAUAGGUACUCCAUGUAACCUCACAAUCUGAGAAACAUACAAUUCGGCUAGUUUAUCCAAUGAAAAAUCCGUACGCACGGGGAUAAAGUGAGCCGACUUAGUCAGCCUAUCAACAACAAUCCAAAUCGCAUCCUUCUUACUUGCGGACAAUGGCAGUCCGGACACAAAGUCCAUUGUGACUCGGUCCCAUUUCCACUCGGGUAUCAUGAUCGGCUGAAGUAACCCUGAAGGCACUUGAUGUUCCGCUUUCACUUGUUGACAUAUUAAACAUCUCGAAACAAAGUCGGAGAUGUCUCGUUUCAUACCAUGCCACCAAAAUCGACGUUUCAAGUCGUUGUACAUUUUCGUGCUCCCCGGGUGAAUUGACAUUCGGCUACAAUGGGCUUCGUUCAGAAUCAUCGGAAUGAGUUCCGAAUUCCUUGGAACACACAAACGACUUCUAAACCUCAAACAUCCAUCAUCAUCAAUCUGAAACUCCGAUUCCUUGUUCGGAACACACUCAGCUCGUUUUGCAACCAAUUCAUCAUCGACUUCCUGAGCUUCAAGAAUUUGAUGAGUCAAUAAUGGUUUGGCUUUUAAUUCAGCUACUAACACAUUGUCAGAUAGAACAGACAAGUGUACAUUCAUCGCUCGCAAAGCAAACAGUGAUUUCCGGCUUAAGGCGUCCGCAACCACAUUAGCCUUUCCCGGGUGGUAAUCAAUGACAAGCUCGUAAUCUUUCAACAACUCAAGCCAACGUCUUUGUCGCAGAUUCAAGUCUCGUUGAGUCAUCAAAUAUUUGAGACUUUUGUGAUCCAAAAACACAUGGCACUUCUCACCAAACAAAUAAUGUCGCCAUAUUUUCAAUGCAAACACAAUGGCGGCUAGUUCGAGAUCAUGGGUCGGAUAAUUUCUCUCGUGUGGCUUUAAUUGUCUUGACGCAUAGGCCACAACUCGACCUUCUUGCAUCAAUACGCAACCCAACCCAAGUAGGGAUGCGUCACUAUAAAUGACAAACUCUUUACCCGAUUUGGGUUGCACCAAAAUUGGAGCUUCAGUCAAAUGAGUUUUCAGUUGAUCGAAGCUUUUCUGACAUUUCUCCGUCCAUUCGAACUUAACAUCCUUUUGAAGUAGCUUCGUCAUUGGUGUGGCUAUCAUCGAGAAACCUUUGACAAAUCGUCGGUAAUAACCGGCGAGCCCUAGAAAGCUCCGGACUUCGGUAACAUUUCUCGGAGGCUUCUAGUUAAGUAUGGCUGAAAUUUUGCCCGGGUCAACUCGAAUACCCGAUGCGGAUACCACAUGACCCAAGAAGCUAACCUCUCUUAACCAGAACUCACACUUACUGAACUUAGCAUAUAACUGCUUAUCCCGCAAAAUUUGCAACACUUGCCUCAGAUGCUCAGCAUGUUCGGUCUCAUCUCUUGAAUAGACCAAGAUGUCAUCAAUAAACACAACUACGAACCGAUCCAAAUACGGCCUGAAGAUCCGAUUCAUCAAAUCCAUAAACACCGCAGGGGCAUUAGUGAGCCCGAACGGCAUCACUAAGAACUCGUAGUGACCGUACCUCAUUCUGAAAGCAGUUUUGGGUACGUCCGAAUCUCGAAUCCACAACUGAUAAUAACCCGAUCUCAAAUCUAUCUUUGAAAACACCGAUGCUCCCUUUAAUUGAUCGAACAGAUCAUCAAUACGCGGUAACGGAUACUUAUUCUUUAUCGUCACUUUAUUCAGUUGACGAUAGUCAAUGCACAACCUCAUGGUUCCGUCCUUCUUUUUCACGAACAAUACUGGUGCACCCCAAGGUGAGAAACUCGGUCGAGCGAAACCUCUAUCCGUCAAUUCUUGCAACUGAGCUUUCAACUCUUUUAACUCGGUUAGUGCCAUACGAUACGGAGCGAUCGAAAUUGGCGUAGUUCCAGGUACAAGCUCAAUACCAAACUCUACCUCCCGAACAGGUGGCAAACCCGGUAACUCUUCAGGAAAAACAUCCGGGUAUUCACAAACCACCGGCACCGAUUCGGGUUUCUUUUCUAACUCCUUGUCAUCAAGUACAUAUGCGAGGUAUGCUUCGCACCCUUUCCUUACCUAUUUCUGGGCCAACAUUGCUGAUAUUACAGCUGGCAACCCCCUUAAGUCCGCAGACUCAACUCGGAUUAUUUCGUUAUUUGCGCACCUCAAAUCGAUAGUCUUGCUUUUGCAAUUCACAACCGCAUCAUGCGCGGUUAACCAAUCCAAACCAAGAAUAACAUCAAACUCGUCGAACGGCAAAAGCAUCAAAUCGGCCGGAAAACAGGAUUCUCGGAUUAUUAGAGGGCAUCUCUUACACACUUUAUCAACAAGUACGCAUUGACCCAAAGGGUUUGAUACUCGAAUUACGAGCUCAGUAGACUCAACAGGUAGAGUCUUACUGGUUGCUAAGGUUUCGCAUACAUAUGAAUGAGUAGAACCAGGGUCAAUCAAUGCAAUCACAUUAGUAUCAAAGAGAGUGAAGGUACCAGUGAUGACGUCGGGGGAGGAUGCCUCCUCUCGUGCGCGAAUGGCAUAUGCUCUAGCAGGAGUACGGUUCUCGGCUCGAUCGGCCGUAUCAGAGGCCCCCCUCUGACUACCACCCCUGCCUCCUAAAAUUCUCGGUGGUCUACCUCUAGAUGUCACUCCACUAGGUCUUGCACCUUGAAUCUUAUUCUUCUCAUCCAGCUCCGUGCAAUCUCUAAUGAAGUGGUCCUUCGAACCGCAUCCGUAACAGGCCCUGCUAGUAGACUUGCCCCAACAUUCACCUAGGUGUCGUCUUCCACAUUGGGGACAUUCAGGUUUCUCGUGACGAUUAUUGCCCACACUAGCUACCGAAGUAGCUCGGGAGCCCAUCGAUGGUCUUGCCCUGAUGGAAAUUCCCGCAGUCGCCCUCGACUUAUUAAUGUCCUCCCUGAACUUCUUUACAGCUGAGAACGGAGCUUUACCCGUCGAACUUUUACGAUAAUCUCUAGCUUCAAAUUCAGCCUUCCUCUUCUCCUUUCCAAGUUCUUCCGCCUUGCAGGCUCGUUCGACUAGUGUUACGAAUUCUUUUAUUUCCAAAAUACCCAUUAGUAGCUUUAAAUCUUCAUUCAAUCCUUCCUCGAAUCUUUUGCACAUAGCAACCUCAUCAGCUACACACUCCCGGGCAUACCUACUGAGUCUUACGAAUUUAUGUUCGUAUUCAGAUACAGUCAUACGGCCUUGCUUGAGUUCCAAGAACUCCUUACGCUUCUGAUCAAUGAACCGUUGGCUAAUAAAUUUCUUUCGGAAUUCCGUUUGAAAGAAGUCCCAAGUUACUCGCUCGUUCGAGACUAUGGAAAUCAAGGUCCUCCACCAAUAGUAGGCUGAGUCUCGCAACAAAGAUACAGCACAUUUUAGACAUUCGUCAGGUGUGCAUGACAAUUCAUCGAACACCCGAAUGGUGUUAUCAAGCCAGAACUCGGCCCUUUCGGCAUCAUCAGUUACUAUGGCCUUGAACUCCUCGGCCCCACGCUUCCUAAUCAAGUCUACAGGUGGCUUACUCAGCCUCACAGGAUCAGCGACUGAUGGCAUUACAGGCUCUUGGGGUGGAUUAUUCAAAUUUGGGAAUUGUUGGACAGCCGGGUUGGUUCGGGCAUAUUGCGCGACCCACUCAUUCAUCAUGGUAAAGAAGGCUUGUUUAGCCCCCUCACCUUGAUUAUUCGCAGAUGACUGAGGUUCAACAGGCGGCGUCCCUUGUGCAGGAACAGCCGCUACGCUCUCAACGUCAUCCGCUAGGGUUCUUUCUACACCGGGAUCCAUUUACUAAUCAAAACAAAAACAUUUCAACCGUCAGAAGUCAUCACCCUUUUAAACAUUAACAUUAAGGCAUGUAUAGCUAGACUCAUACGUGCUAUGGUAGUCCUAGAACCGACUAAACCAUAGCUCUGAUACCAAUCAAAUGUAACACCCCGAACCCGAAACCGACACCGGAGUCGAACACGAGGUGUUAACUGACUUUAACCCCUUAUAAAAUUUAUUUUCCAGACACUGCCCAAUCUGUGUACUAGUCGUUUUAAAAAUCAUAUCUUGAGUUUCGUAACUCGAAAAUCAGUUUCGUAAUUUUUCCCAGAAACUAUACUCAUGUUUCCAUCUAUGUAUUUUUUUCUAGAAUUUUUGGUCGGGCAAAUUAGUACAGUUUAUUAGUCAAAGUCUCCCAUGUUGCAGGGGUCGACUACACUGACCUUUUCCCAUUACGACUUGGAUAUCUCCCUGCACGGGACUUCAAUACUGAUGAAGUUUGUUUCUAUGAAAACUAGACUCAGAGAGGAAUCUAUACAUAUAUGGUACGACCCCUAAUUAUCUCUGGUUAAUUUAUAAUGAAUUUCCAAAGUCGGAGCAGGGAAUCCAGAAACCGUUCUGGACCUGUCCCACAAAAAUCUGAUUAUCUCUUAAUAUACUGCCCAUAUGAUCUUUUUGUUACUUCCUCAUGAAAACAGACUCAUCGAGCUUUGAUUACAUAAUUUAUUCAUCAAUUAAUUCCACUCCUACUAUUUUUAGUGAUUUUUCAAUCUCAUGACACUGCUGCUGCCAGCAUCUGUUACGAAAGUAACUAGGUCCAUUUCAUGCCUACCCUUGAUCCAACUCAAUCGAACAUUCGUGCCAUUUUCGCAUGGCUUAAAGUUUACAUGCCAAAGUUCAAACACAACGUAAUAGCUUAUACAUGCCAAAAUGUUCUUCUAAGCCAACUAAGAAGAAAGUACCAAAACUUGCUAUCCGGUGUGAUGACUUCGAUGAGGGCCCGAUCACGCAAAAAGAGAUGUGUCCAAGAAACCUAGAAUAGGUGACAAGGAAACACCGAGUGAGUUUAUAACUCAGUAAGUCAUAAGCUAUGCACUACCAUCCAUCAAUAACAUUAUCACAAGAGAAAACAAAAUGGAACGAGGCUAAUUACUCCAUCCAUUCCGAACCAUACCAUAGUUCCUCCAACCUAUCGAUUCAAUUUCAUAUCAAUUCAUGCAUUCACAUUCCAUAUACUCAUCAAUAGGACAUUGAAGCAUUUUCAUAAAUCAAUUUAUUUUCGUUACAAUCAAACGACUAAACGGCCUUUCACCCAUCCUACGAUAAAUUUUAUGUACGUGACUUCAAGUAUAUUUGUCACAUAGGUUCAAACUUACCGAGCUCAACACCAAGUAUAAGCAUAGCACCUAUUAGCCAUGUACUCAAGACACUUACCCGAUCCGCUGACCGCGAUCGACUCAAUAGUGUCGCACACAUAGUGUCCAUAAUGAUUCACGAAUGUAUAUUGAGUCCGCACACUCAGUGCUAUAUAAUCAACUCGCACACUUAGUGCUACGUAAUCAAAUCGCACACUUAGUGCUACAUAGUCAAACUCGCACACUUAGUGCCGCAUGGUCAAUUCGCACACUUAGUGCAUCAUAUUCAUUUCGCACACUUAGUGCAACAUAGUCAAAUCGCACACUUAGUGCUGUACAAUUUAAUCCCGCGCACUUAGCGCCAAUCUCAUGGUCAUAAAUGGUUAUACCCGCACGUUUAGUGCCGAGAUCAACAACUCAGUACAUCUUACCUCUUUUCUUUUCAUUUAACAAUUUCAUCAUCACAUACGUACAUGCAUAUAUAUAUAUGUAUAUUUAUUCAUUCCAUUCAGCAUCAAUACAUAAACAUUAUGACCAUUUGAAACAAUACCAACUACAUGCUUAAUGACUUACCUUGUGUUGGGUAAGACGGUUCCAACUCGACUACUCAGUGAUCUUUUCUUUGCCUUUAUCGGAUCUAGUUCCCUUUUGCUCUUGAGCUUAAGUUCAACAACAUUUAAAAUAGUCAUUAAUCGACUAUUCAAGUAUUACUUUCAGAAUAAUAUAUAUAUUGAUUUGACCUUCACACACAUAGAUUAUAGUAAGCUUUAUAAUAGUCAAUAAAUAACUCAUUGGCAAAUUUUCAUUAAUGUUUACAACAAAAUCACAUAUUCACUACGAGCUGUUUUCCUGAGCAGUAGUCGCUAAAUUGUUUAUAACUGGAGCUACAAAACUCCAAAUCACUAGCCGUUAAUUUUCCCUGAAUAUAGACUCGUAUAUCUUCCAUCCAUAAAAUUUUCAGAAUUUUUGGCUUGGCCAAUCAAUACCAGAUUUUUCUUAAAUUUUCCCCUGUUUCACUGUUUGACUAUUCUGACCACUCUUCACUACGAAUCAAAUUUCUCAUUUUACAGAAUUCAAAAUGUGUUGUAUUUGAUCUCAUUUGAAACUAGACUCAUUAAGGAGUCUAAGAAUAUAAAUUUUAUCUUAUAAUCAUUUUUUUACAAUUUAUAAUGAUUUCCUAAAAACAGAACAGGGAAUCUAGUAGUCAUUUUGACUCAGCCCCACAAUACUUCAAAUAUCUCAAGAUCGGUAACUCUUUUGUUUUUAUAGUUUCUUUUGUAAGAAAAUAGACUCUUCAAGCUUUAAUUGCAUAAUUCACUCAGCUUCUAAUUCAACUCCUACAAAUUAUGGCGAUUUUCCAAAAUCACCUUACUGCUGCUGUCCCCAAACAGAUUAUUACCAAAUCAAAUACUAACAUUAGCAUUUCACCUUAAUAGCUAGCUUACCAAGCCUUAAUUUAACAUAUUAAUCUUUAACAUAUCUUUCACUUUUCAUCAACAACUAUCAAAAAGCUCAAGCACUCAUCAAUGGCAAAACACAAAAUCAUCAUCAAUCCACAAAAUUGAACCAUGGGUUUUUAGAACUCAAGUCAACUACUAAAACAUGCAUGCAUCUCAAGAACAACAUCAAACAUACCUUAGUCUAGCAAACCACCAUAGCCGAUUUUCUCAAGCUCUUCCCCUUCCUUUCUUUCCUCUAUUCGGCCAAAGGUGUUCAAGAAUGAACACAUUUUUUUUUUUUUUUUUUUUUUUUUUGUUUUCUUUCCUCAACUCACGGCAACAAGGGGGGGGUAUGGAUGAGACCAUUUUUUUUUUUUUUUUUUUUUUUUUUUUUUUUUUUUC